AUGAACCCCGGCCGAAUCUUUCCCCCCCAGCCCAACGCAGCCCGGGCCACCCCGGGGCGAGUUGCGACGGGCGAAUAUAAUUGGGCCCGUCCCCGUCCUUGGGUAACGUACGAAAUUCCGCUAAUCCCGCCCCGAUUCCCCUUAAACCGGGGCCCGUAAGGCCUCCCGCGUCCGACCGCCCGAUUCACAUUCGUAGCGGUGGCUAAAGGCCCACCAACCCAACGAUCCGUAGUGGUUGAGAGGCGCCCAGCCCCACCGGGACUGAGCCCCGCCCCCGACUCCUACGGGAGGCACCAGUGGGGAAUUUGGACAAUGGGCGAAAGCCUGAUCCACCACUCCGCGGCAGGACGAAGGCCUUCGGGUUGUAAACUGC
rnacentral:rRNA from 1 species